rfam:TPA: Bos taurus chromosome 11, whole genome shotgun sequence.
UCCCUGCUAUCUCAGCUGGAAAAGAAUCUGCCUGCAAUGCAGGAGACCCUGAUUUGAUUCCUGGGUUGGGAA